UUAAAUUGAAGAGUUUGAUCAUGGCUCAGAUUGAACGCUGGCGGCAGGCCUAACACAUGCAAGUCGAACGGUAACAGGAAACAGCUUGCUGUUUCGCUGACGA
rnacentral:rRNA from 2 species